UAACACGGGGGGAGCAAGCGUUGUUCGGAAUCACUGGGCGUAAAGGGCGUGUAGGCGGUUUGGUAAGUGGGAUGUGAAAUGCCUCGGCUCACCCGAGGACCGGCAUCCCAAACUGCCAAGCUUGAGUAUGGGAGAGGAUGUGGGAAUUCCUGGUGUAGCGGUGAAAUGCGUAGAUAUCAGGAGGAACACCGGUGGCGAAGGCGCACAUCUGGCCCAAUACUGACGCUGAGGCGCGAAAGCUAGGGGAGCAAACGGGAUUAGAUACCCCGGUAGUCCUAGCCGUAAACGGUGAUCACUAGGUGUUGGAGGCAUCGACCCCUCCAGUGCCGCAGCUAACGCAUUAAGUGAUCCGCCUGGGGAGUACGGCCGCAAGGUUG
rnacentral:rRNA from 1 species